UACGUAGGGUGCAAGCGUUGUCCGGAAUUAUUGGGCGUAAAGGGCUUGUAGGCGGUCCAUCGCGUCGGGAGUGAAAAGCUGGGGCUUAACCCCAGUCCUGCUUCCGAUACAGGUGGACUAGAGGUAGGUAGGGGAGAUCGGAAUUCCUGGUGUAGCGGUGAAAUGCGCAGAUAUCAGGAGGAACACCGGUGGCGAAGGCGGAUCUCUGGGCCUUACCUGACGCUGAGGAGCGAAAGCAUGGGGAGCAAACAGG
rnacentral:rRNA from 1 species